GAUGAACGCUGGCGGCGUGCUUAACACAUGCAAGUCGAACGGAAAGGCUCCUGCUUGCAGGGGUACUCGAGUGGCGAACGGGUGAGUAACACGUGGGUGAUCUGCCCUGCACUUCGGGAUAAGCCUGGGAAACUGGGUCUAAUACCGGAUAGGACGAUGGUUUGGAUGCCAUUGUGGAAAGUUUUUCGGUGUGGGAUGAGCUCGCGGCCUAUCAGCUUGUUGGUGGGGUAAUGGCCUACCAAGGCGUCGACGGGUAGCCGGCCUGAGAGGGUGUACGGCCACAUUGGGACUGAGAUACGGCCCAGACUCCUACGGGAGGCAGCAGUGGGGAAUAUUGCACAAUGGGCGCAAGCCUGAUGCAGCGACGCCGCGUGGGGGAGGACGGCCUUCGGGUUGUAAACUCCUUUCGUCAGGGACGAAGCGAAAGUGACGGUACCUGGAUAAGAAGCACCGGCUAACUACGUGC
rnacentral:rRNA from 1 species